AGCCAGUGGUGUCUCACUGAGACACAGACAUAAUGUGUGCUUCCAGGCAUUAGAAACAUUCAGGUGUUUACAUUACAGUGGGGACAGCUCUGGCCACAGAACAGUCACAUUAGAAAGACAUUGUGAUGUGAGUCUAAGAUGGAAUCGUAAAUUCAGUAAAACACUGCAGCUUAAUAACCCAAACAAUAAUCAAAUAAAGAUAGAUAUACCAGGAAAAAAAUGAGAACUUCUGUAUGAAACACAACAGCUGUCAAAAUACAGGCAGUAUGUCAUCAUACUCUAAGGCAAACUGUUACCUGACAGUAUGUGCUAUUUCUGGACUUUUCAUAAAACAAGCAGCCUUCAGAACCUCACAUGUAAAAGAACUGCAAAUCAAAUUCUGCUUUAAGUUUGCAUCAAAACAGCUGAGAGACUUUUAUCAACCCAACAUGGUGAUUAAUUUUUUUUCUGGUCUCCGUACAAAACCACAACCCCCAAAUUUAUUUGUUGUAAUAGAAAAGUACUUAAGAGACAAUAGCACUCAAACAGAAAGUGACAUAUUGCACACACAACAUGUUUUUAAUUAUGAUUUUAUUUCUGUAAGUUUUCAAAUAAGUAAACAAUCCAUGGAACACAUGCAGAGUGAGAUCUGAAAUGUAACAAAACAAAGAUUAACGAAUUGCUUAAUUCUUUACCUUUCCCACUUCCCUAUCAUGUUUUGUCUUCAUCACUUCCCAACUAUCAUCAACAAUCUCAGAACACAGGCAGAAUUUUACCAGCCAUUCCAAAUAAGAGGAUCACAUCUCAGUUGAGAAGUGUUAAACUCUAAUUAAAUAUCAUUCCCCCUUCCCUCUGAAAUUUCUCCUUCACUACUUCCAGUAAACUAAGUUAUUAUUUACUUACUACUACUUUAGUUUAGAGUAGUUAUUACUGUAGUUAACAAAACUAUAAGUGGCUUUAUAUCUGGCUUACAUGAAGAUAUAUUAUCGCACUUAUCCAUCUUUGUUUAAAUGAAAAGCAUUGUUUUACUGUCUUGUUUUUUGUCUAAAAAUGUUAGAUGUGCAGUAACAGAUGGAUUUGCUUUCUUAAAACAAACCUCAUGCAUCCUGUUAAAGAGCUGAAUAAUAGAACCACAUUUGUUUUAAAUGAGAGUAUUCAGCGGUGCCCGCAGGCACUCCCACUCAAGACAUCAGAAAGCAAGUAGAAAAAUAUGAUGUUUUG
rnacentral:lncRNA from 1 species